ACUCCUACGGGAGGCAGCAGUGGGGAAUAUUGGACAAUGGGCGAAAGCCUGAUCCAGCCAUGCCGCGUGUGUGAAGAAGGUCUUCGGAUUGUAAAGCACUUUAAGUUGGGAGGAAGGGUUGUAGAUUAAUACUCUGCAAUUUUGACGUUACCGACAGAAUAAGCACCGGCUAACUCUGUGCCAGCAGCCGCGGUAAUA
rnacentral:rRNA from 1 species